rnacentral:sRNA from 1 species
GUUUAUCUGGUGUCUUAAGUGGCAUGGAUCCGGUGUACAGCGCUCAACAGAGGGAUAAUGACACUGUUUAUUCUCGCCAGCCCGGGACAGGCUGACACAGUGUGUACACGGGGAAGGGAUGGAGGCUUCUGGAAAGGGGAAUCAAGAAUCGUUCUCUCCCGCCAGGAACAAGGUGCUGAGCGUCUGCUCCCAGGCUGCACUUGCCAGGAAAAAUGUUGGGAUUCCACCUGGCAUCUCGAAGAGCCAGCACUGAGCUGAAGCCAGGGGAACCCCAUCUGGGAAGAGAACGGAGAGACCCAACAGACCCUAGGAUACCACCUGCCCACGGUCACCAUUGUCGUCUCCUCCCCCAAGCCCCCCGCAGAAAUCCGCAUGUUGAUCUAGAGCUCUGAAAGCACAGGUGUUGAAAAGUAUUUUGCUCCAAACAAACAAACUUAUGUUUCCCAGCGAUCAGCAUCUUAAAAGACAAAGCUCCUACGAUGGGAAUUCAAGAGAGUCACAGAAGCCGGGCGUUGCUCUCUCCAUUUGGACCUGUUGGACCCAAGGCUCCCAGAGGCUUGUGACUUGCCUCAGGUUACCGAGAGUCAGUGACAGGACCGGGAUUAGAACAGGUCCAUGAGAACUCCAGCUUCAUGCUCACUACUCCAGCAAGCUGAGGAAGGACACACCUCCCUCUGACUUCUGCCAAGGGGAACACAGGACUACAGACACUCCUUGAUGGGACUACACCCCAACCAGAAGAUGAAGGCACCACAAGUCAAUGAUGGGUUUAAUACACUUAACCCGGCAAACAGCACAGCUUGGGCACACAAUGCAGAUUGUGGGCCCUUGUGGGUGUGUGCCCAGUUGGAGGCUGCAGUUCUUCGCCUCUGCGGGUGUCAUCAGAGAGUACAGCACUGCAUAGCACCAGGAGAGUACAGCACUGCAUAGCACCAGGCUGGGAAGGGGUCAAACAUUAGUGGUUCCUAUUGAUCAUUCAUUGCACCAAUUGGAGAUUGGGAGUUGAAUUAGUAGAAGUCUGGGGCCUCUAUUCUUAAGCAUAGUCACAUGCUAGGCAUGCUCUAGGCUACUGCUUUUGGAAUCUGGCUUUAAGAUCACAUCUCCUCAUCGACAUUUUAUUUCGCCUACACAUGGAGGCCUGAGGUUGAUUUCAGGUGUCCUCUUCAGUUGCUGUCUUAUACAGUGAGGGAAAGUCUCUCAGCUGAAACCCAGCUCACCAGUUUGGCUUGUCUACACAUCCAAUUUGCUCCAAGAAUCCCCCUGUGUCCACUUCUCAAGCUCUGGGGUUUACAAGGCACCCACUCGAUGUUUAUAUGUGAGCUAUCGAUCUGAACCCAGACUUGCUGGGCUAGCACUUUACCCUCUGAUCCAUUCCUCUGGCAUCCCCAUUUCAUUAAUGAGGAAGACGAUCGUCUUCACAGUUCAAUGACUGACCAAGGCAGCAGAGCUGGUAAGUAUCAGAGACUACCUGUUCUUCGAGUUUCCGAGCUCUGUUCUUUAUGGUCAGGGCAGAAUUUCUCCUUGUCCGCCUAGGACAUAGGAUUUGAAGUCAGAUAACUUAGAACAAUUUAGGGCCCAGAACACCUAUUUUGUUAUUCUGUUCUUUUAGCCAACUUAAUCACUUCGGGCCUUUGCUUCAUCUGUAAAAGGGACAAAAGUAAGACCCGUCCUGCCUAAGGGAGAGUGCUUCUCCCCUGGGUGUGGCCUUUAGGGUGGGUGAGGCCUCCUCAUGCUACUCACUAUACCUCACAGUACUCAGCGGGCUUUAAAUCCAGCACAGAAAUCACUAAAUAAAUCUUUGUGUGCCUUCAAGGUGGCUGGGCAAAUGAAGAUGCUUGUCACCAAGCCUCAUGUCCUGAGUUUGAUUCCCGGACCCCAUGGUAAAACUGGAGCACAGACUCCUGAUAAUUGUCCUCUAGCUAUGUGUAUGCAUGGCGAGUCUUGCCUACCCCCAAGGCACACAUUAAAUCAGUACGUGUUUUACACGUCUCCGGAAUUCAAUUCAAUGAAGUGAGUCAACAGGUUAGAAAAAAAAAAUCGCAACAUCUUCUUGGGGCCAAGUUUGAUGGAGUGGGUUGUGGUGGUUCCACUCACUUGCAACUGUUUUCUUAUUUGCUUUGUUUAGCAAAUUCCUUCACAGUGAGCAGGGGAGGGAGCCUGGGAAGUCAAGGGAAGGGUGUGGGAAGAUGCUGGAAUGGGGAAGGAGCUGAGAUUGUUGGGUGAACAUAUUGCUGUCUGUGUGGAGAAUGUUCACAGCA